GUGCAUGUGACAUUCAUAGCUAAAGUAAUACUACUCAUAAAGAAAUGACCUCAUGGAAGACCUUAUUCUUGCAAUUAACAAGGCUGUUACUAUCUAGUUGGUACCAGAUUCUGAUUUUCACAAGAACAAUC